rnacentral:rRNA from 1 species
UACGUAGGGUGCAAGCGUUAAUCGGAAUUACUGGGCGUAAAGCGUGCGCAGGCGGUGAUGUAAGACAGAUGCGAAAUCCCCGGGCUCAACCUGGGAACUGCAUUUGUGACUGCAUCGCUGGAGUGCGGCAGAGGGGGAUGGAAUUCCGCGUGUAGCAGUGAAAUGCGUAGAUAUGCGGAGGAACACCGAUGGCGAAGGCAAUCCCCUGGGCCUGCACUGACGCUCAUGCACGAAAGCGUGGGGAGCAAACAGG